CAGGGGCAGAACUACCAGCUGCCAUGAAAGUUGCUCCUGCAACAUCGUGAGAGAGACCGAGUGCUAAGCUCCUGCUUGUCCUUGGGGCUGCAUGGCAUUGAUUUUGAUGGGACGGAACCGAUCAUGCCAGCAUCCUUCUUCAUCUCUUUGGCAUGGCUCUUCCACCCUCUCAGCAACAGCACAUGAGAAAUGAUGCUCUUUAGCUUCUCAUCGAGAGGAACCUAUUAACAUUCAGCUGUACGUCGCAAGACUGGCAUCCAGUUUUUCCCGGGAUGCAUUGUGAGAGGAAUGGAGCCCGCUUGAGCAAUAGAUCUGCUGCAUUAACUUGCAGGAAGAAGAAUGAGGCCACGAGAAUCUGAAGGAGUAAAGGAAGACUGCAGGAGUUGCAUGUAAGAAUACGUGGCAUUUUUCUUGCAUAAAAAUAAUUGUGAUCCAUGCAGUAGCAACACUGUGAAACCCAUGACAAUAACUAGGUGCUGUUGCGCAAUGCACAAUACACAAAUGUGUGAGCCAAUAACAGGUUGGCAACCGGUUUGUUUUUGCCGACUUAGCUUUUAUACCUCAACAAAACUAUUUUGUAAUUUUUUUGUGUUGAAAUGUUGCCUACAUUAAAGUGGUGGCAGUAAAGUAAAGGU